CCUACGGGACGCAGCAGUGAGGAAUAUUGGUCAAUGGACGCAAGUCUGAACCAGCCAUGCCGCGUGCAGGAAGACGGCUCUAUGAGUUGUAAACUGCUUUUGUACGAGGGUAAACGCAGAUACGUGUAUCUGUCUGAAAGUCUCGUACGAAUAAGGAUCGACUAACUCCGUGCCAGCAGCCGCGGUAAUACGGAGGAUUCAAGCGUUAUCCGGAUUUAUUGGGUUGAAAGGGUGCGUAGGCGGUCGGAUAAGUUAGAGGUGAAAUCCCGAGGCUCAACUUCGGAAUUGCCUCUGAUACUGUUCGGCUAGAGAGUAGUUGCGGUAGGCGGAAUGUAUGGUGUAGCUGUGAAAUGCUUAGAGAUCAUACAGAACACCGAUUGCGAAGGCAGCUUACCAAGCUACUUCUGACGUUGAGGCACGAAAGCGUGGGGAGCAAACAGGAUUAGAUACCCGUGUAGUC
rnacentral:rRNA from 1 species